rnacentral:rRNA from 1 species
UGGAUCCAGACUUUGAUCCUGGCUCAGGAUGAACGCUAGCUACAGGCUUAACACAUGCAAGUCGAGGGGAAACGACAUCGAAAGCUUGCUUUUGAUGGGCGUCGACCGGCGCACGGGUGAGUAACGCGUAUCCAACCUGCCCAUCACUUGGGGAUAACCUUGCGAAAGUAAGACUAAUACCCAAUGACGUCUCUAGAAGACAUCUGAAAGAGAUUAAAGAUUUAUCGGUGAUGGAUGGGGAUGCGUCUGAUUAGCUUGUUGGCGGGGUAACGGCCCACCAAGGCAACGAUCAGUAGGGGUUCUGAGAGGAAGGUCCCCCACAUUGGAACUGAGACACGGUCCAAACUCCUACGGGAGGCAGCAGUGAGGAAUAUUGGUCAAUGGGCGAGAGCCUGAACCAGCCAAGUAGCGUGCAGGAUGACGGCCCUAUGGGUUGUAAACUGCUUUUAUAAGGGAAUAAAGUGAGUCUCGUGAGACUUUUUGCAUGUACCUUAUGGAUAAGGACCGGCUAAUUCCGUGCCAGCAGCCGCGGUAAUACGGAAGGUCCGGGCGUUAUCCGGAUUUAUUGGGUUUAAAGGGAGCGUAGGCCGGAGAUUAAGCGUGUUGUGAAAUGUAGACGCUCAACGUCUGCACUGCAGCGCGAACUGGUUUCCUUGAGUACGCACAAAGUGGGCGGAAUUCGUGGUGUAGCGGUGAAAUGCUUAGAUAUCACGAAGAACUCCGAUUGCGAAGGCAGCUCACUGGAGCGCAACUGACGCUGAAGCUCGAAAGUGCGGGUAUCGAACAGGAUUAGAUACCCUGGUAGUCCGCACGGUAAACGAUGGAUGCCCGCUGUUGGUCUGAAUAGGUCAGCGGCCAAGCGAAAGCAUUAAGCAUCCCACCUGGGGAGUACGCCGGCAACGGUGCAA